rnacentral:rRNA from 1 species
AUUGAACGCUGGCGGCAUGCUUUACACAUGCAAGUCGAACGGCAGCACGGGCUUCGGCCUGGUGGCGAGUGGCGAACGGGUGAGUAAUGCAUCGGAACGUACCGUGUAAUGGGGGAUAACGUAGCGAAAGUUACGCUAAUACCGCAUACGCCCUGAGGGGGAAAGUGGGGGACCGCAAGGCCUCACGUUAUACGAGCGGCCGAUGUCGGAUUAGCUAGUUGGUGGGGUAAAGGCCUACCAAGGCGACGAUCCGUAGCGGGUCUGAGAGGAUGAUCCGCCACACUGGGACUGAGACACGGCCCAGACUCCUACGGGAGGCAGCAGUGGGGAAUUUUGGACAAUGGGCGCAAGCCUGAUCCAGCCAUGCCGCGUGAGUGAAGAAGGCCUUCGGGUUGUAAAGGUCUCUUUCAGGUGGAAAGAAAUCGCACUUUCUAAUACAAGUAGUGGAUGACGGUACC